GAGUUUAGCGUGAGUUAUAUGACAUUGUGAUCUUUAUGAGUUAAUUAGAGAUGCUUAUUACGUGUAGGCGGAGAUUAGACUGUUCGAGGGGUAUCUAGUUUUCUUUGCUUACUUACGAGGUGAGUCUUCUCACUAUACUUACCAUGAGUGGUAUCUAUGUGUGACCAGAGGGUAUUUUGUGCUUAAUUGAGUCAUGUCAUAUUAUGCAUUUUGUCUGUGUGAUAUAUAUACAAUAUUUUGUGUUUUAUUGAGAUAGGAUCGAAGGGUCCAAACCGAGUUGUGGGACCAGAGGGUUUCCACUGAGACAUGACCGGAGGGUCCAAACUGAGCUGUGGGACCGGAGGGUCCUCACGGAGACACAUGACCGGAAGGUCCACACCGAGACGCGUGAGACCGGAGGGUUCAUGCCGAGUUAUAGCCAUGAGAGGCUUAUUAUUUGUGUAUGUGGUAUUUUGGGGAACUCACUAAGCUUUGUGCUUAUCGUGUUGUGUGAUAUGUGUUUCAGGUACUUCUCAGGAUCACGGGAAGGCGCCAGCAUGAUUGUACACACCUGCUUGAGACUUUGUUGAGGAUUCUGGGAUUUGACUUUUAUUUGUGGAUUUAUGUUGACAUUUGAGACACUUGUGGUUUUAUGAAAUAUAAUAUAUGAGUUUUAUGUGUUUUAAAAAUGAAAAUUUUGGUUUGAAAAUUUAUGGUGUUACAAGUUGGUAUCGGAUCCUUGGUUUGAGGGAUUCAGAUGCACCUUCGGGUAUGUCUGAACUAAAACUGUGGAUUUGAGAAAAGUUUC
rnacentral:lncRNA from 1 species